rnacentral:rRNA from 1 species
ACGGGAGGCAGCAGUGGGGAAUAUUGGACAAUGGGGGGAACCCUGAUCCAGCCAUGCCGCGUGUGUGAAGAAGGCCUUUUGGUUGUAAAGCACUUUAAGCGAGGAGGAGGAGCUCUUGGUUAAUACCCAAGAUGCUUGGACGUUACUCGCAGAAUAAGCACCGGCUAACUCUGUGCCAGCAGCCGCGGUAAUACAGAGGGUGCAAGCGUUAAUCGGAUUUACUGGGCGUAAAGCGCGCGUAGGUGGCCAAUUAAGUCAAAUGUGAAAUCCCCGAGCUUAACUUGGGAAUUGCAUUCGAUACUGGUUGGCUAGAGUAUGGGAGAGGAUGGUAGAAUUCCAGGUGUAGCGGUGAAAUGCGUAGAGAUCUGGAGGAAUACCGAUGGCGAAGGCAGCCAUCUGGCCUAAUACUGACACUGAGGUGCGAAAGCAUGGGGAGCAAACAGGAUUAGAUACCCUGGUA